rnacentral:rRNA from 1 species
AGAGUUUGAUCCUGGCUCAGGAUGAACGCUAGCUACAGGCUUAACACAUGCAAGUCGAGGGGCAGCAUGAUCUAAGCUUGCUUAGAUUGAUGGCGACCGGCGCACGGGUGAGUAACGCGUAUCCAACCUUCCCUAUAGUAGAGGAUAGCCCGGCGAAAGUCGGAUUAAUACUCUAUGUUUUCCAAUGCAGACAUCUAAAAUGGAACAAAGGUUUACCGCUAUAGGAUGGGGAUGCGUCUGAUUAGGUUGUUGGCGGGGUAACGGCCCACCAAGCCUACGAUCAGUAGGGGUUCUGAGAGGAAGGUCCCCCACAUUGGAACUGAGACACGGUCCAAACUCCUACGGGAGGCAGCAGUGAGGAAUAUUGGUCAAUGGGCGAGAGCCUGAACCAGCCAAGUAGCGUGCAGGAUGACGGCCCUAUGGGUUGUAAACUGCUUUUAUACAGGGAUAAAGUGCGCCACGUGUGGCGUUUUGUAGGUACUGUAUGAAUAAGGACCGGCUAAUUCCGUGCCAGCAGCCGCGGUAAUACGGAAGGUCCGGGCGUUAUCCGGAUUUAUUGGGUUUAAAGGGAGCGCAGGCUGAUUAUUAAGCGUGACGUGAAAUGUAGCCGCUCAACGGCUGAACUGCGUCGCGAACUGGUAGUCUUGAGUGAGUUCGAUGUUGGCGGAAUUCGUGGUGUAGCGGUGAAAUGCUUAGAUAUCACGAAGAACUCCGAUUGCGAAGGCAGCCAACAAGGCCUUUACUGACGCUAAAGCUCGAAGGUGCGGGUAUCGAACAGGAUUAGAUACCCUGGUAGUCCGCACGGUAAACGAUGGAUGCCCGCUGUUUGCGAUAUACUGUGAGCGGCCAAGAGAAAUCGUUAAGCAUC